rnacentral:lncRNA from 1 species
AAGGAUUUAAAGUUAUGGUUAGUUAGCCCGUAGGAGUUAAAAUAUUUUGUUUUAAGAAAAUCUGAAGGACCAAAUGUUUUGAACCACGUUUAUUUUUUUUUAUUUUUUAGUUUUAUAUUAAAUUGUAAAUUAAAUAUAUAUAAUAUAUAUAUGAUAAUACAUAAUAUUUUUUUUAAGUUAGAUGCCAAGUGAACCAAUAAGAAGAGAGUGAAACUUUAUAUAUAUAAUUU